UACGGGGGAGCAAGCGUUGUUCGGAUUUACUGGGCGUAAAGGGCGCGUAGGCGGUCAGCACAAGUCAGUUGUGAAAUCUCCGGGCUUAACUCGGAAAGGUCAACUGAUACUGUGCGACUAGAGUGCAGAAGGGGCAACUGGAAUUCUCGGUGUAGCGGUGAAAUGCGUAGAUAUCGAGAGGAACACCUGCGGCGAAGGCGGGUUGCUGGGCUGACACUGACGCUGAACUGCGAAAGCUAGGGGGAGCGAACGGG
rnacentral:rRNA from 1 species